rnacentral:rRNA from 1 species
GACGAACGCUGGCGGCGUGCUUAACACAUGCAAGUCGAGCGGUAAGGCCCUUUCGGGGGUACACGAGCGGCGAACGGGUGAGUAACACGUGGGUGACCUGCCCUCAGCUCUGGGAUAAGCCUGGGAAACGUGGUCUAAUACCGGAUAUGACUCCAUGACGCAUGUUGUGGGGUGGAAAGCCUUGUGCGGCUGAGGAUGGGCCCCGCGGCCUAUCAGCUUGUUGGUGGGGUGANGGCCUACCAAGGCGACGACGGGUAGCCGGCCUGAGAGGGCGACCGGCCACACUGGGACUGAGACACGGCCCAGACUCCUACGGGAGGCAGCAGUGGGGAAUCUUGCGCAAUGGGCGAAAGCCUGACGCAGCGACGCCGCGUGAGGGAUGACGGCCUCGGUUGUAACGUAC